GGCGCCCGCUCCGCUCCUCCCCCGGUGCGGCUGCCCCGAGCCGCGCGUCCCCGCCUGCCCCGGGCCGUGCGCUGCCGCCGCGCUCGGUCGGGAGGAAAAAUCUGAGAAAAGCUCCAAAUAAUAAAAAGCAGCCCCAAAAAGGAGCUUCCCGGCCUCGCCGCCGGUAAAUCCCGGUGGAUGCUCCUCAAAGUUCGCAGCGCGGGCGCGGUGCGCCGCCGGUGCGCGCCUGGCGGGCGGGCUGCAGGGCAAAACCGGGGGGAAAAGGAGAAAAACGGGGAAAAGCCGUGAGAAAAGGGAAAAGAAUGGGGAAAAAACGCGUGCGGUCCCCAGCCCCCCCCCCCCCCCCCGCGGGAGGAGCGGGGGGAGCGCGGAGCCCCCCGGCUCGCUCGGGCCCGGCGGGCAGAGCUCCGCACCCGCGGAGCCCCGGCGGGGCGGGGAGAGGCGCAGCCCCGGGACCCCCGACCCUCUCCCGAGUUCCAAAAUGACCUUUCCCUGCAUCGUUUUGGAGGUAACCGAGCUGCGUAAUUAUAUUUGCACUUCCAGAAGACUGCAUCAGAGUCCCCUUAUUGGUUUGAAAUUCCAUUAAAUAUAUUGCAAGAGCUCCUAGGUUAAGCUUGAUUUAAAUUUGCAUACAUUUUCAUAUAUUUAGCAGAAAUAAAAGAAGGCUUGCAGCUACCAGAAAGUCAUUAAGGCAUUAGUUUCUCUGAGAAGACAGAUCUGAAGAAAAUUCAAGAAAAUGAGAAAAUAGAUCUAAAUAAGGCGUGGCUCUCCCGGGCCACCCCACGCCCGUGACGCGGACACGGAGGCUCUUCCCACGCCCGUUUUGGCGGAAAUCGAGGCAUUUUCCGCCCUGGGACGGACUCAUCCCCUUCACCUGGGAGCUUCAGCCGCAGGUGGAGCUGAAUACAGUGGUUAACUACAAGCAAUAUGUUCUGAAGAUGAUGGUGUUCAGACAAAUACCCAAUUUGAUUCUGAUAAAUUGGAUGCAAGACUUUGACCAGAAUGAGAAGAACAGGCAUUGUGGAAGCAGACAGCAUCCCAGACCUGUGGAGGAGCUCAGCAGGGGGAGAAAAUAUUCCCAAUGUCGUGUUGCUGCUGGUGGCUCAGGCAGUUUGAACAGAGGUCUGUGGUGGUCCAGCUUGUUGGAAACUUUUGUGCUCAAACCAGGAGGAUGCUACAGCUGGAGCUAAUACAUGAGUAAGUUUUCUGGAGGCCAUUAUGUCUCCCAGGGUUUUGAGGUUUUCUCUAAAGGAGACAUUGCUCUGUGUGUGAGGGAGUGAGAAAGAGCAUCGCCUCAAGGGUUUCAGUUAUCACACUGUCUAAAUAUCCCUUAUUUUUAGUUAGAGUCUUCUGAAUAUGAGAUCCCACUACAGGUAGGUGAAGUGACCUCUUUGGGUUUGAAUCUGCUCCUCUCUGGCGGAUGCAAAGCUGCAGCUUUGAACAGGAGCCCCCUCCUGCUCUGUGCAAAGCUCUUUGAAUUGCCCCUGAUAGGCUUCUAAGGCUCCCCGGUUGCAUGUGAGGCACUUUGAAGAUGAAUACCCAGAAUGAGGGAAACAUGAAACAAAACUGACUCCCUUAUGUCAGAGUGAGCAGCAGAUUCCUCAAAGACCUGCAGCACAAUGGUGUUCUUUGGUGGGUGAGAGGAAAUAGCCUGUGGUUCACCAGCUCGUCAGAGCAGAGUAAAAUUGCACAGGGUUGUGCUUUGGGUGGUAGAGCAGCAAAAGAAAGGUUUUGGGGGGGCUCCACAAUAUUCAAGUCUGGCAAAACUUGUUUCAGGUUGGCUUCCUUGGGUCUCACUUGAUGAAGGGAAAUUUAUUAUUAUUAAUUUUUCUUCCCCCAGAAUUUUGCUGUGUGUUCAAGGUGACAGAUGUGCCACAUCUUCUUGAGGGAGAAUAUUUUCCUUUGUCUCCAUGAAAAUCCUCAUCCCAGCUCCUUAAACUCUCAGGAUCCACCAUAGUUUUCUGGUACAUUUUGGUGGUGACCACCCACAGUCCUGGGAGCUGAAGGGCCCUUGGGGGGGUGGCACAGCUGUAGGAAGUUUUUUGUUAUUCGCCUUAUUCCAAAUAUUACUGUGACAGUUGGCAU
ensembl:lncRNA